GGUCCCCACAUUACAGGAAAGAUAUAGGUCUAUUAGAAUCAGUACAGAGGAGAAUGACUAAAAGGAUACAGGGGAUGAGGAGUAUUCCUUACGAGGCGAGGUUGAAGCUGUUAAAUUUACAUUCUCUAGAGAAACGUAGGUUAAGAAGGGACCUGAUAGAAGUCUUUAAGUGGUAUAAGGGUUAUAACAAGGGAGAUGUAAGCAAAAUUCUUAGGAUCAGCCACCAGGGUAGAACAAGAAAUAACGGGUUCAAGCUUGAAAAAUUUAGGUUUAGGAAGGAGAUAGGAAAAAAUUGGUUCUCAAAUAGAGUGGUAGAUGAGUGGAACGGACUCAGUAAUCAUGUAGUUAGUGCUAGGACACUAGAGAGCUUUAAGAGAAGAUUAGACAAGUUUAUGGAUGGAGAUAACAGAUGGAAAUAGGUAGGUGUGUUUCAUACAGGGACUGCCACGUGUAAGCCUGGUCGCUUCUUGCAGCUUCCCUUAUUUCUUAUGUUCUUAUGUUCUUAUGCUCACCUGCUUUCACCUGACCUGUGGCGCGUGGCCGUGGCCAGUCACCAAAUGACCUUGGAGAGGAAAGCACCAUACCUGUGUUAUCGUAAAUAUGCUAAAAUCGUUCCUAUUAUUCUUAAAAAAAUGAAAUAAAAUAAAAUAAAAUAACAAUAAUAAUAAUAAUAAUAAUAAUAAUAAUAAUAAUAAUAAUAAUAAUAAUAAUAAUAAUAAUAAUAAUAAUAUUAUCGUUCGUCCUUUCCAAGUGGAUGUACUGAGAUUAAUGCACAAGUGGUAAACAGAUAACACUUUGGACAGAAAGAGCAACACUGCGACAUACGUGGCAGCGCGGCGGACAGUCCAACCCCCAGCAGGUGUCUAGGGCGGGGCACGUUCGCUGUGUGAACGUAAACAAGCCUGGCGAGGGACUGGCGGCGAGUGACCUUGACCCCUGAGAGUCGCCAGUCCCCUUCACAGUGGGCAGGCAGAACAGUGGGGAGCGAAGUGACUGAAGUGUUGGGAAAGGGUUAUAGUGAUACACGCCUUGGUGUGCUCCCAAUGGCGACAAAUGAGCUUGUGAGAGAGUGGAGGCCGACGCAAGGUGAACGCUUCACUUGCACCUCGCAGUUCACUUCUAUAAUUGUGGAAGUGGAGGAGCAUCCGGAGGUGAGCAAUGAGUGCUGCAUCGCUUACAAGUAAAGCUUUAUCUUACCUUCUGUUUUAUUAUUUGUCUCAACUUUGGUGUCCACCUUUGUCUCACGCGGCCUGCGGGAACUUGAUCCAGAAAUGUUGACUCAACUCACGAAUUUGAAGAGGGAGGUUUGAACACACUCAUCCUCCAUCACUUGAUGUGUUUUCUGUUCGGCAAUGCUUCUUUUGCGAGCUGGCACCCACGUGGGCCUUUUUUACACAAUACCUGUGUUGUCCUUGGCCAGUGGCCUUCUUCAAACCUCCCUCUUCAAAGUUCAUGAGUUGAGUAAACAUUUCGGGAUAAGUUCACGACAAGCCGCGUGAGACAAAGGCGGAUAACAAAGUUGAGACAAGUAAUAAAACAGUGAAUAAAAUAAAGCUUCAUAUUUUGUAAACGAUAAAAGCACUCAGCACUCACGCACGGAUCAUCCUCCACUUCCACAAUUAUAAAAGUGAACUGUGAACCGCGACUGUAAGUAAACCGUUCGCCAAGAAGAAAGAAUAAAUGAGUUUCCCAUUGACGCAAGUCGUUCUCCGUGGGAGUCUGCGGCCAGGCCAGCCUCACGCGUGGCAGGACUGCGGAGGAUCGGCCACUCCAGGGCAGAGGCUCCCAACCUUCUCUGAGUUCAUGCAGCCUCCAAGGAGCUUUGAGAAACCCACACACCUCGCACCCACGGCGACUAUUUCACGUUUUUCUCUCUUUUAAGACUGAA